AGAAACAUCCGCUUCUACCGAAAGAAAAGAGAAAAAAAAUGAAAAAAAAAGCACUUGCCUUAGAAAUAUACUCAUGCAUUAAAAUGAAGUUGAGUGGAAAGAGAGUCAAGAUUUGACGACACCCCAAAAAUAAAAUUAUUGCACAAAGAAAAACAAAAACAUGAAUGCCGAGUUGUAAAACCUUUUGUAAUCCAUUUUGUUGUCU
rnacentral:lncRNA from 1 species